rnacentral:rRNA from 1 species
AUUGAACGCUGGCGGCAGGCCUAACACAUGCAAGUCGAACGAGUGGCGGACGGGAGAGCAAUGUCUGGGAAACGGCCUGAUGGAGGGGGAUAACUACUGGAAACGGAAGCUAAUACCGCAUACCAUCGGAUGUGCCCAGAUGGGAUUAGCUAGUAGGUGGGGGAACGGCUCACCUAGGCGACGAUCCCUAGCUGGUCUGAGAGGAUGACCAGCAACACUGGAACUGAGACACGGUCCAGACUCCUACGGGAGGCAGCAGUGGUGAAUAUUGCACAAUGGGCGCAAGCCUGAUGCAGCCAUGCCGCGUGUAUGAAGAAGGCCUUCGGGUUGUAAAGUACUUUCAGCGGGGAGGCGUUACCCGCAGAAGAAGCACCGGCUAACUCCGUGCCAGCAGCCGCGGUAAUUC